GAUGUUCUAAACUUUCUGAACUUUUCCCCCUUACCUGUAAUAGGACGACUAUUAUGAACUACGAUUUGCAACCAACACCAACAUCAGGUUAUGUAUACACAUGUAUAUUUUGUUGCCUUCUGUAAUCAUAAAAAAAAUAAAAAUUUAAAACCCUCCAUAAAGUUCAUACUCAAUAACACUGCUACAUGUAGCAUUGUUACUGGAAAUUAAUUUAAGUGAAACUGUUGAAACAGCUCUGUCAAAAUUGUUUCUAGCAGUUAAGGCAGG